AGAGAGUAGAAUACUUUAUUACAUCAUCUGAAACAUUGUAUCUUUAACAAGUAUCACAUCAAAGUAAAGCGGAAUUUAAAUAACAGGGGCAAUCUCCCACAGGAAGAUGACUGGCGCAUCGUUAGACUUAGAAUUCCUCGUUGUCAAAAUCUCCAUCAAAGUUUCCAGCAUCACCCUCUGAUCAAAAUAUUAGCAAGGGUGAGCUCACUUAUGGUCGGGGCUCAGCAAGUGGGGGAAAAAUUAAUGCAGGUAUAACAAGGUGAGGCUAAGGUUGAGCAGUAAGCAUUUUAGUUGGUCAACAUUUUAUUAACAACACCUGUCUUACUAAUAAGUGUGAAUCCCAAGUAUCCCAUUUAAACAAAGGGAUAUGAAUAUACAAAAACACAUAAGUGAAACCACUUAAGCAAAUUAUUGGCAGAUCAUCGGAUCUCAAUUUAAUUCCAUCUUCAAGUUCAAUUAUCAUGUGAGGAGUCCAGGUCGCUCAUAACCGGGAGCACGGCUGAUAUAUCAGUUUUACACUCUGCAGAGGUGGUACAACUUUACCCACAAGCCAUGUAUCCCAUCUAGCCCGGGUUGAUCGGACCCUUAAACACUGCCGAGGUGAAUGGCUAGGGAUCCAUUAUGAGGCUUUCACAAAAUACCUUAAUACGAAGCAACCCGCUAAGGUUUCUAAAGACGAUGGUGGUGGCCCCCUGGGUGAGGUACCUUAGACAAGAAUACGUCCCCAUGUUAACGUGGGCUGCCAGCACCUACCGCUCCCCCUCUUGCCCAUAUUUCAGGUAAGGUUGUCAGGCACUAAGCAUAUAAAGCUAAUUACCAAAGCCAGAGCCAUGAUAGCACUCGUGGUUGCACUGUUAUCCUGGGUGGUCACUCCAUGUUCCAAUUAAUUUGAAAUAAUGUUGCGUUAACCAUCGGGUUAAUGUCAUAAUUGCCAAUUUCAAUUUUGGAACAUUAAUACCAAUUAAUGAGUGACAUUAAAAUCAUUAAGUUGAGCGGUAGCAUAAAUUUGCAAAGCUUAAUAAUUUCCCAGGGUAAACAAGGAAUACAGUUGGUAAAUCUAGGAAAUCCUUAAAUAGGUAAAACCCAUCAAAUUAUGCAGUAUAUCAAAAAGUAAACAUUAUUAUAUGCAAUGAUUGGGUGCAAAAAGAAUAUGCAGAGGGAGAAUCGAGUUGCCUUGCUCAAACAUAUCCUGUGGUUCGUCUUCGAACGUAUUCG
rnacentral:lncRNA from 1 species